rnacentral:lncRNA from 1 species
CUCUUAAUUUUCCAUUUGAUUGCAAUAUAAGAAAAUGAGUAUUACAUGACAUUUGUCCUCAUUUGUUCUGCCUGGAUCGACCAAAAUAAUUUACUUGGUCUCAGUUUUCACCCGUGGGAUACUCUUGGCUUCGUUCUUGUCUAACCAUGACCAUAAAUGAGAAACAAUGGAGGCCAAGGCAGCCAACGAAAUAGUUCAAGCCUUACCAAACAAAAAAACUAACCUUAGUAAACUAAGUCCUCAAGCAAAUAACACAGAUUAAAAUGGCUUCAAAUUAAAUUUUCUCAAGUUUUGUCGGUAACCCAGCAAGCACCGGAAUUAAUUGUUCGGGCGAGGCCAACGCCGCAUGAAUUAAAGCAACUUUCAGAUAUGGAUGAUCAAGAAAGUCUAAGGUUUCAGAUUCCAGGAAUAUUAUUUUACAAGAACAACCCUUCAUCAUCACCUACUGUCCAAAAAGAAAAGAUCCCGUGAAGGUCAUCAAGGAAGCUUUAAGUAAAGCACUUGUAUAUUAUUAUCCUUUUUCAUAUACGCUUGUAAAAGGCCCCAACCGCAAGCUUAUGGUGGAUUGCAAGUGAAGGGAUCUUGUUGCUUAAGGCUGAAGCUAACUUCAAACUUGAGCAGCUUGGCGAUGCUGUUCAGCCACCAUACCCAUAUUUGGAACAACUGCUCUGUAAUGUUCCAGGUUCCCAAGGCAUUCUUGGUUGCCCAUUGCUCUUAAUUCAAGUGAGUUUAUCUAUUACUUGUAACCAAGUGACUUUACUUUCGCAUGCAUUCUCAGAUUAUAUAGUUUCUAAAUUCUUUUAACUAAACAUAAAUGUCUAUUUAGUUCCUAGAGUUUUGAGUUAAUUGCAGAAGUAAUUCUUAUAUUUUAAAAAUUUUUCCAAAACAUCCAUGUUAUAAAUAUGUUUCCAUUGCAAUACCUACUUAAUUAUUCUCUACUAUUCUUCUAUUACAUAAUAGUUUUGUUUGAAUUUUAUCAGUAAAAAGUUAGAUCCAACAAUUAUAAAAGUAGCAACAAGGAGCCCACAAAGACUUGGUCAAAUAUUUUUCUUUAGUUACUCACCUGAGCUUAAAUCUUGAGAGAGAUACAAGCUAAAAAGUCAAUUUGAGUUUUGCCCAUUCUCCAACUUCUGAAAAAUAAUAACAAUAAUGGAAAUGAUAUUUUGGGUAAUUUUUCAAAACAUGAAAAGCAACUGAGUAAUUGUCCCCGGACUUAAAAUAAUUUAUCUUUUUAACUAAUCAUUACUUUAAUCAUAAUAUUACUCUUAAUUAAUUAUCUAAUGAUUUUCUUCCUAUGAGUGUAUAAGGUAACUCGAUGUGGGGGAUUCAUUCUUGCAUUACGUUUUAACCACACAAUGUGUGAUGCCAAGUGACUUUACUUUCGCAUGCAUACUCAGAUUAUAUAGUUUCUAAAUUCUUUUAACUAAACAUAAAUGUCUAUUUAGUUCCUAGAGUUUUGAGUUAAUUGCAGAAGUAAUUCUUAUAUUUUAAAAAUUUUUCCAAAACAUCCAUGUUAUAAAUAUGUUUCCAUUGCAAUACCUACUUAAUUAUUCUCUACUAUUCUUCUAUUACAUAAUAGUUUUGUUUGAAUUUUAUCAGUAAAAAGUUAGAUCCAACAAUUAUAAAAGUAGCAACAAGGAGCCCACAAAGACUUGGUCAAAUAUUUUUCUUUAGUUACUCACCUGAGCUUAAAUCUUGAGAGAGAUACAAGCUAAAAAGUCAAUUUGAGUUUUGCCCAUUCUCCAACUUCUGAAAAAUAAUAACAAUAAUGGAAAUGAUAUUUUGGGUAAUUUUUCAAAACAUGAAAAGCAACUGAGUAAUUGUCCCCGGACUUAAAAUAAUUUAUCUUUUUAACUAAUCAUUACUUUAAUCAUAAUAUUACUCUUAAUUAAUUAUCUAAUGAUUUUCUUCCUAUGAGUGUAUAAGGUAACUCGAUGUGGGGGAUUCAUUCUUGCAUUACGUUUUAACCACACAAUGUGUGAUGCAAUUGGUUUGGUACAGUUCUUAAAAACCAUAGAGGAGAUGGCACGAGGUUAAGAUAAACCUUCCCUACUCCCUGUUUGGCAACGGGAAUACUUAUGUGCGACAAUUCCACCACAAGUAACAUGUGACGCCCAAAAUGAAUAUGAGCAAAUGAACUCCAUCCCGAGUGCCUUCACAGCUGCCAACUCAAAUGACAUGGACCACAAAUCAUUGUACUUUGGUCUAAUGAGAUAGAUAAAAAAAUAUAGAUUUUAAUAUAUUAACAGAUAAAAAAAUAAUUUUUAAUGUAUUAAAAUUUGUUUUUUAAAGUAUUAAAAUUUGUUUUUUAAAUUUUAAUAUGUAUCUAAAGUGAGGAUAAAGUAAAGAUGCUCUACUAGUAAAGGAUUAUAUAUAUUAAAUAUGAAAAUCAGUUCGAGCCAUCAUAAAAUUCUUUUCCUUUAUUACAAAAAACAUAUGGGACAGUAUAGAUCUUUCUCCAAUUACUAGUGAAAACAUAUUUCUAGGCUAUGUUUAACAAACCUCUAAAUUCUGAUACAAAUUAUUCUCAAUAGAUCUCAAAUUGUAAACAUUUCAAUAUGCUUUACUAUGUAUUGAACAUGAUGACGAGUACGUGUCUUGUAAAAUUAGGACGCUAUUGAAUAUGUUGUGAUAAGGUGGUGUACUGUAAAUUAGGAGGCAAAUUCUCCUUCCAAAAAAAAAAAUUAAUUAUUAUUUUAAUAGCCAAUUUUGGCUAUUAAAGGGGAGAGCUCUCAUUUCGAUGUGUGCAUUCAAUUUGUGAGAAAAUAACAAGGAAAGAGCUUGAGAGAUUUUAAGAGCUUAAAAUUAUAAAGGUCUUGAGAGUCUAGUGAGUGAGAGAUUGGGUGUAUUGGAGUUUUGGGUAGUGAGCCAAAAUAUUACAAUACUUGUAAUCCUUAUUUCACUAGUGAAAUAUUUUCCUUCUGUCUUCGCCCGUGGACGUAGGCUAAAAGCUUAACCACGUAAUUUUCUGGUGUCCUCUUUUUUUGUGCUUAUUCUUUAUUUUCUUCCAAUUUCACUUUAGCUGCGUGUCUACUUCACCCAUCAAUUUCCUAACAUAGAUUACUAAGCUGUAGUAAUAUUUAGGGAAAAAAGAGAGAAAGAGAAAGAGAGAUUGCAAAAACCACACAUUAAAAUCCUCAUCUAUUUUACAUUUCCAUAUUGAGCAUCACAUCAAGAGUGGGUACACUUUCACUGAAUCGUGGUCUCUAAUGCAUAGGCGGUUGGAAAUUAAUUUUAUUACAAUCGGAUUCUUCUUAUUUUUGGAUAGGAAUGGAUUCAUGAACAUACAUUGUAUAUACAACAUAAUGGUCAAUUUUCACAUUUUCAACGUUUAGUAAUAUGAUUAGAAAUUUUAAAUUAUUAAAUUUUAUAUUUAUUGAAAGUGAUAGAGGCACUCGUAUUAACUUGCGCUCUUAAUUUUCCAUUUGAUUGCAAUAUAAGAAAAUGAGUAUCACAUGACAUUUGUCCUCAUUUGUUCUGUCUGGAUCGACCAAAUAAUUUACUUGGUCUCAGUUUUCACCCGUGGAAUACUCUUGCUUCUUUCUUGUCUAACCAUGACCAUAAAUGAGAAACAAUGGAGGCCAAGGCAGCCAACGAAAUAGUUCAAGCCUCACCAAACAAAAAAAAAAAAAACUAAGUCCUCAAGCAAAUAACACAGAUUAAAAUGGCUUCAAAUUAAAUUUUCUCAAAUUUUGUCGGUAACCCGGCAAGCACUGGAAUUAAUUGUUCCGGCAAGGCCAACGCCGCGUGAAUUAAAGCCACUUUCGGAUAUGGAUGAUCAAGAAAGUCUAAGGUUUCAGGUUCCAGGAAUAUUAUUUUACAAGAACAACCCUUCAUCAUCACCUACUGUCCAAAAAGAAAAGAUCCCGUGGAGGUCAUCAAGGAAGCUUUAAGUAAAGCACUUGUAUAUUAUUAUCCUUUUUCAUGUACGCUUGUAAAAGGCCCCAACCGCAAGCUUAUGGUGGAUU